rnacentral:rRNA from 1 species
GACGUAGGGCGCGAGCGUUGUCCGGAUUUAUUGGGCGUAAAGAGCUCGUAGGCGGCUUGUUGCGUCAGCUGUGAAAACCCGCAGCUCAACUGUGGGCUUGCAGCUGAUACGGGCAGGCUUGAGUUCGGUAGGGGAGACUGGAAUUCCUGGUGUAGCGGUGAAGUGCGCAGAUAUCAGGAGGAACACCGGUGGCGAAGGCGGGUCUCUGGGCCGAUACUGACGCUGAGGAGCGAAAGCGUGGGGAGCGAACAGG